GACGAACGCUGGCGGCGUGCUUAACACAUGCAAGUCGAACGGAAAGGCCCUGCUUUUGUGGGGUGCUCGAGUGGCGAACGGGUGAGUAACACGUGAGUAACCUGCCCUUGACUUUGGGAUAACUUCAGGAAACUGGGGCUAAUACCGGAUAGGAGCUCCUGCUGCAUGGUGGGGGUUGGAAAGUUUCGGCGGUUGGGGAUGGACUCGCGGCUUAUCAGCUUGUUGGUGGGGUAGUGGCUUACCAAGGCUUUGGCGGGUAGCCGGCCUGAGAGGGGGACCGGCCACAUUGGGACUGAGAUACGGCCCAGAGUCCUACGGGAGGCAGCAGUGGGGAAUAUUGCACAAUGGUCGGAAGCCUGAUGCAGCAACGCCGCGUGCGGGAUGACGGCCUUCGGGUUGUAAACCGCUUUCGCCUGUGACGAAGCGUGAGUGACGGUAAUGGGUAAAGAAGCACCGGCUAACUACGUG
rnacentral:rRNA from 1 species